AUGACAUUAUAAAUUUAUUUUAAUGAUAUUUUUGAAGGAUAAAAUAUAUGUGUAUAUAUAAAUGGAUUUGUAUGUAAAAUAUACUUUGAGGAUAUAUUAUAUAUAUUAUAAACAAUGAUUAGUUUAAAUGUUCAACAAGUUCAUGGAAUGUUCGGGUAUCAGUUUACAAUAUAUGAUUCUUCUUCCUGACCAACAGUUUCCUGCUCUACGAAACGCACUCUUUUGCCUUGAAGCGGCAUUGGACAGUGGUGUCACUAAUGGCUAUAAUCAUGCAAUUCUAGCUUAUGCUUUUGCCUUAGCUGGAAAAGAGAAGCAAGUGGAAUCUUUACUCCAAACCCUGGAUCAAUCUGCCCCAAAACUAAGUAAGCGUUAUUAUUCAUUGUUGCUAAUGGAGGUGAUCUUGGAGCACAGUGAGGAAGCGUUCUAAGCAGUCACAUAGGAGCUCCCUCUUGACGAGUAUGUUUCUGUUUCUCUUAUGGAAUUUAUCAGUGGCCUUUAUACCUUUCAAGAACGCUACAUAUUCUAGACUUUCCUCUUUUGCUUUAUGCUAGCUUCCUCUCAAAUGAGUGAUGUCAGGGGAAUCAAGCCUGGUGACCAAGCCAUAGGCUAUCGAAACUGCUGGGGAAGCUUAAUCACCUGCUACUUAGAAAGUUGCUAUUUAAGGCUGUAGUAGUUUGCUAUAGCUGUCAUAAAAUACCACAUACUGGAUGACUGCAGCAACAAAAGUUUAUUUUCUCAUGCUUCUGGAGGCUAGAAGUCUAAGUUCAAGGUGUUGAAAGUGUGGUUUCUUCACCUGCAGAUGACCACAUUCUUCCUUUGUCUUCACAAGAUCUUUUGUGUGUGCACAGCCCUGCUCUCCCUUUUGUGUGUCCAAAAUUUUUCUUCUCAUAAGGUCACCAGUCAGAUUGGAUUGUGGCCCAUAAGCUUCAUUUUAACUUAAUCACCUCUUUAAAAAGUCUUAUCUCCAAAUACAGCCACAUUUUGAGGUACUUGGUGUUAGGGCUUCAACAUAUAAUUUUAGGGGAACAAUUCAGCACAAACAGAGGUCGGGAAUGGAAUUUUCAUCCUUCUUUAUGUGUAACCCAUGACUUUUAUACAGACUAUGUGAAAAUUCUUCCUUUUUCUCAGAUAAUGUCAUCUACUGGGAAAGAGAAAGGAAACCCAAGACAGAAGAAUUUCCAUCCUUUAUUCCCUGGGCACCUUCUGCUCAGACUGAGAAGAGUUGCUACGUGCUGUUGGCUGUCAUUUCCCGGAAAAUUCCUGACCUCACCUAUGCUAGUAAGAUUGUGCAGUGGCUUGCCCAACGGAUGAAUUCCCAUGGAGGCUUUUCUUCCAACCAGGCUCCGGUAGAUUGCAAACGACCUGCUUUCUUUGUGAUCCCGGCUGCAUUCGGACCCCUGUCAGACAGUAAAUCCCAAGCUCCCGUAGAUUGCAAAGGACAUGCUUUCUUUGUGAUCCCGGGCUGCAUUCGGACCCCUGUCGGAUAGUGAAUUCCAAAUAAUGUACCUACCGUCGGCAGAUCUGAGCUUUCUUCUUGGACACCUAAUACCCACAGUCCUCCAGCAGUGAAGGAUCCAGUGAGAUUUUCCAGGUUAACGGUCAUAACCGCCUACUGGUCCAACGUUCAGAAGUAACACAGGCACCUGGAGAAUACACAGUAGAUGUGGAAGGACACGGUUGUACAUUUAUCCAGGCCACCCUUAAGUACAAUGUUCUCCUACCUAAGAAGGCAUCUGGAUUUUCUCUUUCCUUGGAAAUAGUAAAGAACUACUCUUCGACUGCUUUUGACCUCACAGUGACCCUCAAAUACACUGGAAUUCGCAAUAAAUCCAGUAUGGUGGUUAUAGAUGUAAAAAUGCUAUCAGGAUUUACUCCAACCAUGUCAUCCAUUGAAGAGCUUGAAAACAAGGGCCAAGUGAUGAAGACUGAAGUCAAGAAUGACCAUGUUCUUUUCUACUUGGAAAAUGUCUGCCCACAUCAGUGCCCACCAGGAAAACUGCUGCUUGUGUUAUCAAGAAUUUAAAGGCCAUGCUAUCCAUCAUGUGUUACCUCACAUUGGUGUUCCCCGCUUCUUUCACUCAGAAUGCUAACUCUUCAGAGACACAGGAAAGUGCCAGUUUCAACAAAUGCAAUGAUUUAAAGCCAUAAAUGUAACAGGAAGAUCUAAUUCUGGAAGACAUACAAAUGCCGAAAGGAAAAUUAAAGCCACUUACCCCGAGGAAGAGAUGAAGGUGAAGAACUUUCUGGGCCUGAGUCUGUGGGAACACAGAAGAAAGAAAGAAGAACUGAGACUUAAAUGAAGCUUAACUGGUACAUCUGGACUCUGAUGAGUGAGAAGUCCAAGCAAAUAGAAAAGCCACAGCCAAACGGGUCUCACGCUGUCACCCAGGCUGGAGUGGAAUGGCACUAUCUUGACUCACUACAGCCUUAAUCUCCUGAGCUCAAGCAAUCCUCUCACCUCAGGCUCCUGAGUAGCUGGGACUACAAAUGGGUUCUCUACCUGGCCUGUGCCUUGUUGCCUGUUCCUUUACUGUACAUGUGAUGACAAGAAAAGAAGAUGGACCCUCCAUGUUGAACAUGCCUGGCCCUCAGGUAGCCCUUUUCUAUUGGCACAGCUGCUGGCAUUCAUCUGUGCAAGCUUCCAGCUUGCUCAUGUAUGUCUGCAGCUCGAUUUCUCAGGCUGCUCUUUGUUAGAAAAGAAAUGAUUUUUUGGGCUGCUUUUUGUUAAAAUGGAAAAUUCUGCCUAUGACUCUGUUGUCCUUACUAUCUGCCUAAAUAAUUUAUUUCUAUGUCCUGUAUCACUGGAUUCCCCCCACCUACCAAGUUGUUCUUAAAAACUGCUCCCUGAAUGCUCUAAGAGACUGAUUUGAGUUUUGAAUAAAACUCUGGAC
rnacentral:lncRNA from 1 species